CCAGGACAAUGAAAAUGCUCCAGUUGAUGGCAGUAACGGACCAAAAACCUGUGGGCCAUUAAACCUCAGAAGAAGAACGAUCAAAUGACGUGUUUCCGGAUUAUUCUUUCUUUAGUUGGAGGACCAUCGUGCGAGCAGUUGCUUCUCUCUCGUCUCUUUUAAGCAUAAUGGCAUUUCCUUGAAGUCUUCAUAGAACGUUCCUUUUGCCGCCUUAAAUAUGUAUGAAUGCAAGAGAUGCAUUUGUCAAAGCUGCUGCACGAAUGAAGGAGAAGCUCCUACUUUGCUGAGGUGUCGAUCACAAAAUGUUAAUUUUGUGCAAGGCCAGAUCUAAUAACCGUAGUGAAUAUUACAUAUUUGAUUGCCAUUUAACAUUUUUAUUUAUUGUUGAAUGUGUUAUUGGUUGACAUAUUGAGGAACGUUAUAUUCAAGAGGAUUUUUAUUAGAUUAAAACUGUUUUUGAAUGAAAAAUUCAACUAAUUUAUUAUUAUUAUUUUUUUAAACAUUUUAUUUAAAGCACCAUUGUUGGUUCUGUGUAUUUGUGUUUGGUAUGAUAAAGAAUAGUCAGAGAGAUAGUGACAUGUACAACUGGUUUAUUGUGUAUAUUAUCCUGCUUAUUAUGUGGUGAUUUGCCAUACAAGUAAAUAAUUGGAAAUAUUGGUUAGCUUUUUAACUCUUGUAUUCAACUCAAAGCUUCUGCAAAUUAAAGUGGUUCAUAGCAAA